rnacentral:sRNA from 1 species
GUGUGGUGGCAUGCCUGGCAAAUCCAAUGAAUUUAAAAACUCAAUUGGAUAAUUCACAGUUGGUCUCGCAAAUUGCAUCGAUAGAUUUGUACGACACCAAGUGCCCAGGCAACAUCUGUUGUACCUUUAAAUUUAAGCCAUUGACGUCCCAAUUUUUCGCUGACAAAAUCCUCUACGUUUGUUGCGUUGUUGUUCAAUUCCUUUACGUCUGUCGACUAUGUAUCUGCGCGUUACUCUCAGUUCUACUUGCUUUUGUUGAUUUCGUUUAUCUCUGGCCUCUUGCAAUUGUGAUUCACGUAACCGCGCCACGCUCAUCUGCAUAGUUUUUUUGUAUUUGUUCACCUGAAAUUCGUACUCUUAUAUCUGGUAUGGUUUUAGACUUGAUAAUUUGAUGACUCAAAUUGGCCCCUUUGCUUCUUAUUGGCAUUUCUCAAAUAUAUUAAAUUCUCGGAUUGCAAUGUUUGUUAUUGAGCUUUUCCGAAUUUCAUGACAUUUUAUGUGCUUUCGAUUAUAACUUAUUUUUUUUAGAUGUUUUCGGUUUCGAGAUGAAACGAAUAAUGAUUUCAUACACAAUAUUCAAACCACAGGACCGAAUUUUUUGUUUGGCCUACUGGGAUUUCAUAUGAGAAUAUGAGAAUUACCUUGCCAUAUCACUUUCACAAUCAAUGCGAAUCAAAAUUUUUCAAAACAUAAGGGCGUGUAAAAAAAUUAUGCAUCCAAAAUCUUGACUAGAUCAGACCACUUCUUCGGGUACUUCCCAAAAAUAAAAGGACAUAGAUGUUUGGGACGUACCCGAAGGAGUGGUCUUAUCGUGAUGAAAAAUAGAUGUUGGUCGAUGCGCAGACCUCACCGAUAAGCACACAAAAUUUCACGACAACCGGUCAAGCCAUUUCGGAGGAUACCAUUAAUUAACCAUACAGAAGAAACGGAUAAGUUAAGAAACAAAUUAAAAUUUCUAAAUGAAGGUUAUCAUUAUUUAAAAGGACUUAAGUUCCAUUAUGUAUGGACAUGCGGCCUUGAUUAUGGGAAUCAUAAUAAUAAUAUUAAUAAUCUAUGCCAUAAGAAGAAUUAAUUGAAUGUAAAUGGUUAUCUGUACUUGUAAGUAUAGCUAUAAAGAAAAUGUACUCAAAAAGGUUCACAAGAAUCAAAAUACAAAACCAAGCCACUUUUGGCUCUUUGUAGAAUGCUCAAACAUGAACAUAUACUAAAAAUAUUAUUG